UACGGGGGGGGCAAGCGUUGUUCGGAAUUACUGGGCGUAAAGGGCUCGUAGGCGGCCUGCUAAGUCGGAUGUGAAAUCCCUCGGCUCAACCGAGGAACUGCAUCCGAUACUGGCGGGCUUGAAUCCGGGAGAGGGAUGUGGAAUUCCAGGUGUAGCGGUGAAAUGCGUAGAUAUCUGGAGGAACACCGGUGGCGAAGGCGGCAUCCUGGACCGGUAUUGACGCUGAGGCGCGAAAGCUAGGGGAGCAAACGGG
rnacentral:rRNA from 1 species